GCUGGUUUAAGAAAGCUAUAAAUUUCUUAAUUUUAUAGAUUAAAAUUUAAAAUUUAAAACAAUAUAGAGAAAGAAUUCAGAAUUCCAUCAGAUAAAUUUAACAUAAAGAUAUGAAUGAUUUUUUAAAAAAUGAACCGAAAUUCUGGAGCUGAAACAUAACAAUUGACAUAUAGAAGAAUGCAACAGAGUAAACAGCAGGAUUGAUCAAGAAGAAAAAAGAAUUAGUGAGCUUAAAGACAGGCUAUUUGAAAAUAUACAAUUGAAGGAGACAAAAGAAAAAGAAUAAAGCAAGCCUACAAGAUCAAGAAAAUUUAAGUUAUCUCCCUUAAAGAGGAGGUAGAGUGAGAGUUCAGGGUAGAAAGUUUAUUCAAAGGGAUAACAGAGAACUCUCUGUACCUAGAGAAAGAUGUCAAUAUUCAAGUACAAGAAGAUUAUACAACACCCAGAGGAUUUAAACCAUGUAAGACAACUUCAAGACAUUUAAUAAACGAGCUCCCAAAAGAAGAGAAUAAAGAAAGGAGUCUAAAAGCAGCAAGAAAAAAGAAACAAAUAACAUCCAAAGAGAUCCAGUACAUGUGGUAGCAGACUUCUCAGUGGAAACUUUACAGGCCAGGAGGGAGUGGCAUGACAUAUUUAAAGUGUUGAAGGAAAAAAAAGUUUUAUCCUAGAAUAGCAUAUCCAAUGAAAACGUCAUUCAAACAUGAAGAAGAAAUAAUGACUUUUUCAGACAAACAAAAGCAAAAGCUGAGGGAUUUCAUCAAUACCAGACCUAUCCUGCAAGAAAUGCUAAAUGGAGUUCUUCAGUCUGAAAGAAAAGGAUGUUAACAAGCAAUAAGAAAUUAUCUGAAGGUACAAAAGUCAUUGGUAAUAGUAAGUAUACGUACAAACAGAGUAUUGCAACACCGUAAUUGUGCUGUGUAAACUACUCAUAAUCUUGAGUAGAAUGACUAAAAGAUGAAUCUAUCAAAAAGAAUAACUACAGCAACAUUUCGAUGCAUAGACAAUAAUAUAUCAAUAUGAACAAUAAAAAGUCAAAAAGGGGAAAUGAAGUUAAAGUGUAGCAUUUUUAUUAGUUUUCUCUUUGCUUGUUUUUGCAAUCAGUGUUAAGUCGACAUCAGUUUAAAAUAAUGGCUUAUAAGAUGUGAUUUGCAGGCCUCAUGGUAACCUCAAAUCAAGAAAUCUACAACAGAUAUCCAAAAAAAUAAAAAGCAAGAAAUUAAAACAUACCACCAUAAAAAAAUAAACUUCACAAAAAGGAUGACAAGGAAGGAAGGAUGACAAGGAAAGGAAGGAAGGAAGGAAGGAAGGAAGGGAAGGGGAAGGGGAGAAGGAGGGAGGGGAGAAGGUGGGAGGGAGGAAGGGAGAGAGGAAGGAAGGCGAAACAACCAGAAAACAAAUAACAAAAUGGCAGUAGUAAGCCUUUAUCAACAAUAACAUUGAAAGUAAACGCACUAACCUCUCCAAUCAAAACACAGAGUGGCUGAAUGGGUUUUUAAAAACAAGGCCAAUGAUCUGUUGUCUACAAGAAACAUGCUUCACAUAUAAAGACACAAAUACUGAAAAUAAAGGAAUGGAAAAGAUAUUCCAUGCAAAUGUAAGCCAAAAAAGAAUAGAAGGAGCUAUACUUAUAUCAGACAAAAUAGAUUUCAAGGCAAAAAGUGUAAAAAGAGACAAAAAUGGCAUUAUAUAAUGAUAAAGGGGUCAAUUAAGCAAGAGGAUAUUACAAUUGUAAAUAUAUAUGCACCCAACAGUGGAGCACCCAGAUAUACAAAGCAAAUAUUAUUAGAGCUAAAAAGAGAAAUAGAUCUCAAUACAAUAAGGGCUGGAGACUUCAACACUCCACUUUUAGCACUGGACAGAUCAUCCAUUCAGAAAAUCCACAAAGAAACAUGAGACUUAAUCUGUGGCACAGACCAGAUGAACCUAGUAGAUGUUUACAGAACAUUUCAUCCAAUGUCUACAGUAUACAUAUUCUUUUCCUCAGCCCAUAGAUUAUUCUCAGAGAUAGCCCAUACAUUAGGCCACAAGUCUUAAAAAUUUUAAAAGAUGAAAUUAUAUCAAGUAUCAUCUCUGAUCACAUGGAAUAAAACUAGAAAUCAAUAACAAGAGGAACUUUGGAAACCAUACAAACACAGGAAAAUUAAACAAUACGCUCCUGAAUGACCAGCAGGUCAAAUAAGCAAUUAAAAAUAAAAUAAAAUUAUUUUUAAAACAAAGAAAAUGGAAACAUAACAUACCAAAACCUAGGAGAUAUAGAAAAAGCAGUACUAAGAUGAAAUUUUAUAGCACUGUCUCCAUGAAAAAAGUAGAAUAUCUUCAAAUAAGCUAAUAAUGCAUCUUGAAAAAUUAGAAAGAUAAGAACAAACCAAACUCCAAAUCUGUACUCACAAAAAUUAAAAAUUGAAAAACUAAAGUAAAAAGUAAAUACUUUAUAUUGUAUUAAUGAAGAUGCAAUACAAACUAUAUAAAAUUAAAAUAAUUUUUGUCUUAAUAUCUGAAUUUUAUUAUUUUAGAAAUUAAUAUUUCACAUAUACAGCACGGAAUACGAUGCAACCAUAAAAGGGAACAAAAUCUUGUCUUUUGCAGCAACAUGGAUGCAGCUGGAGGCUGUUAUCCUAAGUGAACUAAGGCAGAAACAGAAAACCGAAUACUGCAAAUUCUUACUUAUAAGUAGGAAGUAAACACUGAAUACAUAGGGACACAAAGAUGGGAACAUAGACACUGGGGACUACUUGAUGGGGGAGGGUAGGAGAGGAAUGUAGGUUGAGAAACUGCCUAUAGGAUACUUCACUCACUACCUAGGUGAAGGGAUCAUUCGUACACCAAACUUCAGCAACAUGCAAUUUACCCAUGUAACAAACCUGCACAUGUACCCUCUGAACCUAAAAUAAAAAUAGACAGGAAAAAAAGAAGAUUUUAGUACUCUGUAAUUUUCUUCUCAUAAAACAUUUUUAUUAUGAAAUAUUUCACUCAUAAAUGAAAGGAAACAAAAUAAAAUGUAUGGUUCAAUAAAUUUUCACAAGGAGAAUACCUUUGAACCACCACCAAGACCAAUAAAUCAUAUACUGUGUAACUUUCUAUAGAUUAUAGGUUUACAGGAAAAUAUACAUUUCUAAACACUAUGGAAACUAUACAAACACAUGGAAAUUAAACAGUAUUCUCCUGUUCAAUUUUGCCACUGUUCACAUUUUAUAUACCUGACACCUCACUAUAUGUAUUAUUUUGUAUAGGUUUUAUUCAUCCAAUAUUUUAAGAACAGCUAUGUUACUUAAUGGAGAUGUAAUUUGUUUUUUUAAAUUGCUUCACUGAAUUUCUUAUAUGAAUAUAUUAUAUAAUAAAGUAUCCAUUAUACCAUUUGCAGACUUUAAAAUUGUUUCUAAUAUUUGAUUAUUAUGAAUGAUAAAGUUUUGAAACUCCUUGUCUUUGGGUACAAAUAAACAACAUUUCUGUUGUUUAUAAAAAUGAAUUGCUAGGCAUAAGGAAUGCAUAUGUUAUACUCAAUAUAUGAGACCAAAAGAAUUUUAAAGAGUGACUGUGCCUAUUUGUACUUCCACCAAAAGAUAGAGCAGUUAUGUUUGUGCCAGAUGUUUUCUAAUAUCUGAUGCUGUGGCAUAUUAAUUUAGCCACUCAAAUAACUCUGUUGCAGUAUUUCAUUGUAGUUUAUUUAUUAUUUUCCUAAUAACUAAUGCUGUUAAACCUUCUCAUGUUUAUUGUCCAUAUUGAUAUCAUCUUUUGUGAAGUGUCUGAUCAAGACCUUUGCCAUUUUUCCAUUGACUAACCUCUUUUUCUUAUUAAUUUGUAGGUGAUUUCCAUGUAUUCUCAACAAAAAUACUCUGCUAGAUCUUAAGCAUGUCAGCUGUAUGUCUUUUGAUUAUUUUAAUGGUAUAUAUUGUGAACAGAAAUUCUUGGCUUUAUUGAAAUGUAAUUAAUCAGUCUUUUCCUUUAGAUAAAUGUUUUUAUGUUACAUUUUGGAAGUCUUUCUCUAUAUUAAGCUUGUAAAAAUUUUUAUUUUAUAUUUUCUUCCAGACACCUAGUUUUUUCUUUCACACUGUAAUUAACAAUCUCACUAUAAUUAAAUUUUCUCUGAUAUAUAGAAGAGAUUAUGCUUCACAUUUUUCAUAUGAAUAUCCAAAUUCUUCAGUAGCAUAUAUUGAAAAUACCAUAAUUCCCCACUAAUCUGCAAUACUACCUUUGUCAUAAGUCAAAAGUGAUUAUAUCUGGGGUCUGUUUUCAAACUCUUUCUUCUAUUUCCAUGACCUAUCUUUCUAAUCUUUUAUUAUCCUUAUUGUUGUAGUGAUACAGCUCUAAUGAAUGGAGGAACACCAGGUUCUUGUCUCGCACGAUUUAGAUAAAACAACAUGGACACAUGUGGAGUGGAGCAGAGUUUAAUAAGCAAGAAAGAAAAGAGAAGGCAAAAGGAAGAGGCUCCCCAAUAAAGACACAGAGGGAGGGGGGCUCCAAAGCUAAAAGAGGAGACUCCACGUCCCACAGAUACCAGCCAGGUAUAAGAAGAGGCUGGAGGAGGCGGUGUUGGAUUUGCAUAGGACUCAGGGGAUUGCUUUGACCAGGCCUGUUUUUCACAUAGCUUCUAAAAAACUAGCCCUCCCACCCUAGCCUUUUAAUAUACAAACACAAGGCACCAUGAUGUUUUACAUAUGUGGGGAUAUGUGGGGACAGCCAUGUUGCCAGGCACAUGUGGGGCAAGGGCAAGAAGGCCAUGGGAAUUGCCAUUUUUGGGUGGACCCAGUCUCUAAUGGCCGACAUUCGCCUAUUAAAGGUUGCCUCCAUGGCUUUAAGAGCCUGGACUUUGCUUCUAGACAAGAAACGUUUUUGGAGCUGCUUUAAAAGAAACCAAAACGUUUCCUCUUUAUCUGCCUAAAAUAAUUUCUUAAAAACUCCUACCACAGUAAUUAUAAAAAGUCUUGGCCGGGUGUGGUGGCUCAUGCCUGUAAUCCCAGCACUUUGGGAGGCUAAGGUGGGCAGAUCACGAAAUCAAGAGAUGGAGACCAUCCUGGCCAGCAUGGUGAAAGCCCGUCUCUACUAAAAAUACAAAAAUUAGCUGGGCCGUGGUGGUGCAUGCCUGUAGUCCCAGCUACUUGGGAGGCUGAGGCAGGAGAAUUGCUUGAACCUGGGAGGCAGAGGUUGAAGUGAGCCGAGAUCACGCCACUGCACUCCAGCCUGGUGACACAGUGAGACUCUGUCUCAAAAAAAAUAAAAUAAAAUAAAAAAGUUUUGUUAUUUGAUAGAUCAAGACCUCUCACCUUGUUUUGUUCAAAAACUUG
rnacentral:lncRNA from 1 species